UACGUAGGUGGCAAGCGUUGUCCGGAUUUACUGGGCGUAAAGCGUGCGCAGGCGGUUCGCCAAGUCAGGUGUGAAAUCCCCGGGCUUAACCUGGGAAUUGCGCUUGAAACUAGCGGGCUUGAGUGUGGCAGAGGGAGGUGGAAUUCCACGUGUAGCGGUGAAAUGCGUAGAGAUGUGGAGGAACACCGAUGGCGAAGGCAGCCUCCUGGGCCAACACUGACGCUCAUGCACGAAAGCGUGGGGAGCAAACAGG
rnacentral:rRNA from 1 species